GAAGAGUCCAGAAAGUGGAAUGAAUCUGAGUAAAUGUAGAAAGUCUGAGAAGAAUGUGCUGCUUUAGAAUUAUCAAGUAGGAUUUUAUCAGCAGUUUAUAUCAUCAGAGCCUCAGUAUCAGCAGUGUGGUGUCAACAUUUAACACAACGUGUGUGUUUUAUAACCUGAAGGUUUAUUGAAAACUCAUGUGUAACUGAAUUGAAUAUAAAUCAGAUGAAAUUCAGUUGAAAAUAACUUGAAAAAUAAACUUUGAUUAAAACAUGGAAUUUAUAUUUCAUAUUCA